AAGUAUUGGGCAUUUUUAAGUACGUCCUUAAUCCGACUUGAAAUUCUGUCUGGGAAUUUUUCCAUUAAAGAUGUUAAAAAAGAAAGGUUCUUUAGCCCUGUGGAGUCCUGUGGGAGUCAAAGGUGGGAUUAAUCGUUCACUCAUCAAGUCAACAAAUACUGAGUCUUUACUACCUGCCAGAUAUUGGGCAAGUUGCAGAGAAGUGAUGAAUUAAGGCAGGUGUCCACACUUUCAGGAACUCAGAAAAUCACGUUUGGCACAUACAGCAUUCUUGCCUGGGUCUCCCAGGGAACCUCCUUUUAGGGCCUCAGCCUGAGUAGAGCCAAGCUAUUCACACACACAUGAAGUACCUGUUUGAUUUUUUUAAAAAAAUUUUUUUUCAAAAAGUCUCCAGUCGCUCUGUAGCUUCUAUUCCUUAAUCAUAGAUCUGGUCUGAAAUACACAUAGGUGAAAUGUGGUCCUUUCCCAGUAAAACAUUCUUAAAUUGUAUGGAGGUGGCUCUUUGAAUAGCCACCAAAUCUUCAUAGACUUUAGGAUCAUCUUUAAAAUACUUUGUAGCACUCUCACCAGGCUGGCUAGCCCUUUCCAACAUUCUCCAGUUUAUUAUGUGGCUGAAUUUAGUAUUCUAGGCAUGAUCAGGUUAGGAUAGUGUGGGAGGACUAUAAUCUCCCUCGAUCUGAACAUUCUACUUCUAUUAAAUGGACCCAGUAUCAAUUAGCUGUUUUGGCAGGUACAUUAUAUUAAUAACACAUAUAACAAAUGCAGUCUGUGACACCCUUAGUUUCUCUUUCCUCUGCUGUCCAAUUGAAAACAUUUGAUCCAGGCUUUUUCUUUUCUUUUCUUUUCUUUUUUUUUUAAGAUUUUGUUUUUAUUUAUUCAUGAGAAACAGACAGAAGAGAGAAAGCGAGAGCAGCAGAGGGAGAAGCAGACUCCAUGCAGGAAGCCCGACGCGGGACUCAAUCCCCGGUCUCCAGGAUCAGGCCCCAGGCCAAAGGUGGCGCUAAACCACUGAGUCACCCGGGCUGCCCAAUCCAGGCUUUUCUUUUAUUUAUGUGGUUAAUUUGUUUAAUCUUAAAUACAAGUCAUUAUAUUUAUCCCCGCCAAUACCAUUCUAUGAAUUUUAGCACUUCCUUCCAGGAGCAGGCCUUUGCAUCCUGAGUUUGCCAUUCAGCAAGUUUGUGCCAUCCUCACAUUUGGUGAGUUUACUGGCAGUCCCUCCCUAUAUCCAAGUUAGCAAAUUAUGUGGUGGUUGCAAGAGUUCCAAGGAGAGUCUCUAGAAGUCCCUGACCUGUCAAUCAGCAUCUUUGGUGAGGGCAUUCUGUCUCCUACAAAUACACUUUAUCAAAUGCCUUGCUGAAAUGCAGGUACAUUGUGGCUACAACAUCUUCCUAAUCUAGCUAGUUUAGUAUAACUUGGGUUUGGGGGAGUCAGGUAGGCAUGGCUUUUAAUUUUUAUGACUAUUUUUGUGUUUCCUGAGUUACUUUCUUAACUAUAUGAUAGAAAUAAUUAUACCUGCUCAUAGAGUGAUUUUGCAACAGAGAAAUAAUAUAUGUAAGAUGCUAAUUAUAUAUGCAUGGUAGCAUUCAAUAAAUUAUAACAAUUAUUAUUAUCUCUUAACAAAAGAAAGCAGUUUAGUUUAGAGUAA
rnacentral:lncRNA from 1 species